GGGUGACCCAACCUCCAUUACGCAUCCACAACAACCAUUCACCUUCGACGGAACUAACCCGCCGUGUGUCCCCAUAGCCGACGAUGACAGUCGCGCCGUUCGGUCAAGCCACCCUCACCCGCGAUAACAACAUUGUUCAGACCAACCUCCUUCUCCAAACCAAAGGCCGUCAUGCAGCGCUACACCAUCAUCAACAUCCCUACAGCUCAUUGCGCCUCCUAUAGUCGCAGUUAAGACUACUGAGCCUAUCCUUCUCCUUUGCCGCCGCCAGGGUCAAUAAGCU
rnacentral:lncRNA from 1 species